rnacentral:tRNA from 1 species
GGGCCCGUGGCCUAGUUUGGAGAAGGCGCCGGCCUUCGGAGCCGGAGACCCGGGGUUCAAAUCCCCGCGGGCCCA